rnacentral:piRNA from 1 species
UAAGGCCCACAGCUCCAACAC